UAAAAUUCAAAACCCUAAAUUUCUUUGUAAAAAUACCUUUUUCUUUUCUUACACAAAUCUCCUCACACCACUCAAAACUCUUGGUAUUCACUAUCUCUGUUCAGCUCACAAGUCUAGCAACUCAGCUUCGCUCAAGCACCGUUUGAGCUUUUUGUUACAGGUUCAUUCGAUCUUCGCAUUGCAGGUUCGUCUGACCUUUGUUCUAGCACUAUUCGAGCUCCAUUCUAGCGUCCUUCAAGAUUCAUUCCACUCCAUUCCAGCUAGUAUCGUUCGAGUUGUGUUUGAAUGCUGUCAAAGUCGAGAAACGGAUAGUCACACACAUAUAUAAGCAGCAAUUUGAGAGGAUUCGUGUUUUUCAACAACUCCAUCACGGGGUUGAGGACUUUUCAGGUCUGAAGCUUUUGAAGACUUAAGAAAAGUCUUCUCUUUUUCCUUCAGGGUUUUUCUUUCUCAGAUUUCAAGGAGUUGAGGAUAAUAUCUAAUGAAGCUUUGACUUUAGAGUUAUCUAGGAGUGUUGUGGUACUUAGAGGAUGUAAGGAAGAGCUUCGUGGUGGUGUUCAGAUAUUUUCUUGCUAUGUUUUGAUGAAGGCAGUGCUCGUGACAUUGGACAAGAGAAAUGCAAAGAAGGAAUUUCAUCAAGGGUGAAUGAUUAUCAAGGGUGAAUGAUUUAUUCUUCCUUUCCUCUAUGUAUAUAUUUACUAAAGCACGCUUAUACGUAUUUAAUAGUUUUUCCUACUUUAUAUAAUUUCUUUGUUAUAAGUUCUUUGCAAAAUGAAAUCACUGACACAAGGCGAUUACUCGCUUCCUCUAAGGAUACAAAACCUUCAAUAACAAACACAAGU